rnacentral:rRNA from 1 species
AUGAACGCUGGCGGCGUGCCUAAUACAUGCAAGUCGAGCGAACAGACGAGGAGCUUGCUCCUCUGAUGUUAGCGGCGGACGGGUGAGUAACACGUGGAUAACCUACCUAUAAGACUGGGAUAACUUCGGGAAACCGGAGCUAAUACCGGAUAACAUGUUGAACCGCAUGGUUCAACAGUGAAAGACGGUCUUGCUGUCACUUAUAGAUGGAUCCGCGCCGCAUUAGCUAAUUGGUAAGGUAACGGCUUACCAAGGCAACGAUGCGUAGCCGACCUGAGAGGGUGAUCGGCCACACUGGAACUGAGACACGGUCCAGACUCCUACGGGAGGCAGCAGUAGGGAAUCUUCCGCAAUGGGCGAAAGCCUGACGGAGCAACGCCGCGUGAGUGAAGAAGGUCUUCGGAUCGUAAAACUCUGUUAUUAGGGAAGAACAAAUGUGUAAGUAACAAUGCACGUCUUGACGGUACCUAAUCAGAAAGCCACGGCUAACUACGUG